UACGUAGGGUGCGAGCGUUGUCCGGAAUUACUGGGCGUAAAGAGCUCGUAGGUGGUUUGUCGCGUUGUUCGUGAAAACUCACAGCUUAACUGUGGGCGUGCGGGCGAUACGGGCAGACUGGAGUACUGCAGGGGAGACUGGAAUUCCUGGUGUAGCGGUGGAAUGCGCAGAUAUCAGGAGGAACACCGGUGGCGAAGGCGGGUCUCUGGGCAGUAACUGACGCUGAGGAGCGAAAGCGUGGGGGAGCGAAACAGG
rnacentral:rRNA from 1 species